UACGAAGGGUGCAAGCGUUAAUCGGAAUUACUGGGCGUAAAGGGUGCGUAGGCGGUUCGUUAAGUCUGUCGUGAAAUCCCCGGGCUCAACCUGGGAAUGGCGAUGGAUACUGGCGAGCUAGAGUGUGUCAGAGGAUGGUGGAAUUCCCGGUGUAGCGGCGAAAUGCGUAGAGAUCGGGAGGAACAUCAGUGGCGAAGGCGGCUCACUGGACCAUAACUGACGCUGAGGCACGAAAGCUAGGGGAGCAAACAGG
rnacentral:rRNA from 1 species